rnacentral:rRNA from 1 species
AUUGAACGCUGGCGGCAUGCCUUACACAUGCAAGUCGAACGGCAGCGCGGACUUCGGUCUGGCGGCGAGUGGCGAACGGGUGAGUAAUACAUCGGAACGUACCCUGUUGUGGGGGAUAACUAGUCGAAAGAUUAGCUAAUACCGCAUACGACCUGAGGGUGAAAGUGGGGGACCGCAAGGCCUCACGCAGCAGGAGCGGCCGAUGUCUGAUUAGCUAGUUGGUGGGGUAAAGGCCCACCAAGGCGACGAUCAGUAGCUGGUCUGAGAGGACGAUCAGGCACACUGGGAGUGAGACACGGCCCAGACUCCGACGGGAGGCAGCAGUGGGGAAUUUUGGACAAUGGGGGCAACCCUGAUCCAGCAAUGCCGCGUGUGUGAAGAAGGCCUUCGGGUUGUAAAGCACUUUUGUCCGGAAAGAAAUCGCGCUGGUUAAUACCUGGCGUGGAUGACGGUACCGGAAGAAUAAGCACCGGCUAACUACGUGCCAGCCGCCGCAGUAA